rnacentral:misc_RNA from 1 species
AGUCGUAACAAGGUAACCGUAGGUGAACCUGCGGUUGGAUCAUUAACAAUGGUUUUCAAACCUUUUAUCUGUGCACUCUACAGCGCUGUUUCUUCCUGAAGAGGCAGUGCUACUGUUCAUCUCUUGCUCUCUUUUCCUUGGAAAAUCUGCUCGAGAAAUUUUUAAACCAUGUAUUGUAUCGAGUCUUGAAUUUGUAUUAAAAUGAAAAACUUUUGACAACGGAUCUCUUGGCUCUC